rnacentral:rRNA from 1 species
UGCGGCAGCGACACAUAGUGUUGUUGGGUAGGGGAGCGUUCUGUAAGCCUGCGAAGGUG